GAUAAUCUACCUACUCCUCUGUAGGAUAACAACGGCUAAGCUUCAUCCUGGAAGCAUGUGCCCACCAAGAUCUGCCAAUCCGCAGUCCUUAACAAGCUUCAACCCAUUACCCAUGGCACAUUGAUUGCUUAAUUCUCCGUUAAUGCCACCACCACAUAACCUUUAUGUUCACGAAUCACCACUUCCGGUGGCCAAAACCAUCAUGCGAGAGGUUUGUGUCCGAGUUGAUCUUCAGAAAACCCUCGCAUGGAGAGGUUUCUGUCCGAAUUUUCGGCACUAUUCAAAGGAAUUCCGUCUUCUUCCUAGUGGCCACUCGCUCCCAAAAUUCACAACAUAGCUAGGAAGGUGAAAAGGUUAAAACCAAGAAACUGGAACAAGGAACCUCCGAUAACCAGAACAGGAACCUCUCAAGAAGAAAGUUGCAUAAUUGACGAGAUGUGCUCCAUUUUGAAGACAUUUGUAAUAAGCUAAGGAGGUUUUGAAAAGCAAGAUCCAUCAUCAACCUUGUUCAAAAGAAUGGGGAUGUAUUGGAAUUCAUUGUCACUAGAACAAAUGAAAGGUCUAAAGGCUAAAGCUAGUUCAAACCUUGAGAAAAGAAGGGAAAAAGGAUUGGUGUUGGCUGCUCUAAGUGAAAAAGAAGUGCCAUUGAAGGACCAGAAGUUGCAUGAGUUAAAUGAUAUAGUUGAUGAGAUGUAUGACAUUCUUAAGAGGUUUGCAAUAAGUGGUGGGGAGGAAGGAUCGAAGAAGAAGGCUCAUCAUUAUCUGUGUGGGAUUUACUUUCACCGGAAAGGCUUCAAGAAGUUAAGGCCCAAGCAAUUGAAAACACAAGAAAAAGGACUGAAACAGAAAUAACGAGGGUUGAAGCUAUUGAAGUUGUUGAAGACAUUAAGAAUUGGCAGUCUCCAAAUAAUAAGGAAUGCACUGAAGAAGAAGAGUCAUUGAGUGGUGAUGGAGGCAUUGAAGGUAAUAAGGAAGGCACUGAUGAGGAAGACUCAUUCACUGGUGGUGGAGGCACUGAAGAGGACGACUCAUUGACUGGUGGUGGAGACACUGAAGGUAAUAAGGAAGCCACUGAAGAGGACGACUCAUUGACUGGUGGUGGAGACACUAAGAUUCUAGGCUCUAAAAGAUGGUUACACAUUCACUAUCUGAAGAAAAACUUCAAAAAGUAAGGGGUGAAGAUGAAAACAUUAAGAAUCUAUAGUCUUCAAAUAAUAAGGCCUGAAGUUGUUGAAAGUGGUGAACCUGUUGAAAACAUGUCGAGAGGGACAUUCUAUUCUAGAAUCACAUUUGUGUCUUUAAUACAUUCGUUUUUUGGUUACAAUGUAGUGGUUGAGUUUACUUUAUUUUUUUUCUUCUGAUGAAUCAUAUUGAAUAUUGAGGUUACAUGUGUAUUGAGUUACUUUGUUUUCUUGAUGAAUCCUUGACUA